GACAGCAAUAUGAAGGCCAGGCUGAAGACUUUGCCGGAUUAGCUGAGAGGUGGUGCAUGGCCGUCGUCAGUUCGUACUGUGAAGCAUCCUGUUAAGUCAGGCAACGAGCGGGACCCACGCCCACAGUUGCCAGCGUACUCUCUGGAGUGACGGGUACACUGUGGGGACCGCCGCUGCUAAAGUGGAGGAAGGAGAGGGCGACGGUAGGUCAGUAUGCCCCGAAUCUCCCGGGCUACACGCGGCCUACAAUGGACAGGACAAUGGGCUCCGAUCCCGAAAGGGAAAGGCAAUCCUUUAAACCUGUUCUUAGUUCGGAUUGAGGGCUGUAACUCGCCCUCAUGAAGCUGGAAUCUCUAGUAAUCGCGUGUCAUUAUCGCGCGGUGAAUACGUCCCUGCUCCUU
rnacentral:rRNA from 1 species